rnacentral:misc_RNA from 1 species
UCACCCCUCAAGCCCCGUGCUUGGUGUUGGACGGCCUGGUCGGUUGAAAACGACCCCUCCUAAAGAUAAUGACGGCGGCCCGUGGAGCCCCCGGUACACUGAGCUUUUAACUGAGCACGUAUCGGACGAGGGCGCCCGGACCCCGGUCUUUCUCCCUCAGGGGAACUUUCUAAG